rnacentral:rRNA from 1 species
GACGAACGCUGGCGGCGUGCUUAACACAUGCAAGUCGAACGAUGAAGAAGAGAAACGCGAACUUCGGUUCAAAUUUCACUUCGGAUUAGUGGCAGACGGGUGAGUAACGCGUGAGCAACCUACCUCUUACAAAGGGAUAGCCUCGGGAAACCGUGAUUAAUACCAUAUGACACAUUAAUAAGGCAUCUUAAGAAUGUUAAAGCUACGGCGGUAAGAGAUGGGCUCGCGUCCCAUUAGCUAGUUGGUGAGGUAACGGCCCACCAAGGCGACGAUGGGUAACCGGCCUGAGAGGGUGAACGGUCACAUUGGAACUGAGACACGGUCCAAACUCCUACGGGAAGCAGCAGUGGGGAAUAUUGCACAAUGGAGGGAACUCUGAUGCAGCGACGCCGCGUGAGCGAUGAAGGAAUUCGUUUCGUAAAGCUCUGUUCUAUGGGAAGAAAAGGACUGUACCAUAGGAGAAAGCCCCGGCUAAAUACGUG